AUAAUAUAUACGACUUAGCGAAUACUAGUAAAACAGGUGCUGUUUGAAUCUGCCUGAUUCCAGCCUUGCUGAAGCACCCCCAGAUCAUCGCCAAUCAAACCAAAUUUCACAGUGGGUGUGAGACAUUGUGGCAUUUAGGCCACUCCAUGGGGCCCAUUUAUCAAAGGGCUUGCGGACCUGAUCCGACACUGCGGAUCAGGUCCGCAAGACCUCGCUAAAUGCGGAGAGCAAUACGCUCUCCGCAUUUAACAUUGCACCAGCAGCUCACAAGAGCUGCUGGUGCAAUGCCGCCCCCUGUCUGAAGACUCGCCAGAAACACGGCCCUUCAAGCUCCGUACGGAGCUUGAUAAAUGGGCCUGCAUGUCUUUGUCUAACCAUUAAACAACCAGAUGUUGGCCAAAGCUGAAAAUUGGACUCAUCACAGAAGAUCACCUGGAAUUGGGCAGAUUUAUCUUUGUGAAGGAUGCAUGAAUCAAGCCAUGAACAAGGUUAUCCUGGAAGAAAAGUUGCUUCCUUCUGCUCUGACAAUGUUCCCAAACUCUGUAACCUCUGUAAUGUGAUCAAGAGAAAGAUGGAUGGUCACAAACCAUCAAGCAAAGCCAAGCUGCUUAAUUAUUUGAGCCAGGAUUGGCAUAAAGUCACCCAACAACAAUGUGAAAGACUGGCGGAGAGCAUGCUUAGAUGCAUGAAAGCUGUUAUUCCACCAAAUAUUGAUUUGUUAAGUUAAAACAGUAUUGUAUUGUUUAAAAAUAAAUAUGAACUUGUUUUCUUUGCAUUA